rnacentral:rRNA from 1 species
UACCAGCUCCUCGAGUGGUAGGGAUGAUUAUUUGGCCUAAAGCGUUCGUAGCCGGCUUAUCAAGUCCUUCGUGAAAUCCUGCGAUUCAAUCGUAGGGCGGGCGAGGGAUACUGUUAGGCUUGAGGACGGGAGAGGUCGACGGUAGUCUUGGGGUAGGGGUGAAAUCCUAUAAUCCCAAGACGACCACCAGUGGCGUAGGCGGUCGACUAGAACGUGCCUGACGGUGAUGGACGAAAGCUGGGGGAGCGAACCGGAUUAGAUACCCGGGUAGUCCCAGCUGUAAACGAUGCGGGCUAGGUGUUGGAACAGCUACGUGCUGUUCCAGUGCCGCAGGGAAGCCCUUAAGCCCGCCGCCUGGGAAGUACGGUCGCAAGGCUAGAAACUUAAAGGAAGUUGGCGGGGGAGAGCUACGAAGGGGUGAAGGGCUGCGGUUU